CUGUGAAGCCAUUAGAACCUCCUGGCAGAUGACAAAAUAUAUUUGGAUACGGAUGUCUCCAGGACGUUAGUGCCAAGGCUCCAGAGAACGCGCGACUGCAUCAGCUUGAAUGCCUGCUUCUAACUCCUCUGGACACCGUCAGAGAUCUUAGAACUCAUCUCUUUAACAUGGGAUCCAUGCCCAGGACCAGAUCCCUGACUUCUCUAUAAACUACCAGUGCUGUGACACUGCAGCAACCCUCAGCUAACAGAAGCAUGAAAGGGCUCAAGCAGAACCAAACCCAGAUUUGAUACUGUGAUUCAUUACUGGGUACAUUUCACUGUUCUGCUUCCCUAAAUGUGGCUAAAUGUGGCACAUAUACACCAUGGAAUACUAUGCAGCCAUAAAAAAGGAUGAGUUAACACCCUUUGCAGGGACAUGAAUGAAGCUGGAAGCCAUCAUUCUCAGCAAACUGAUGCAAGAACAGAAAACCAAACCCCACAUGUUCUCACUCAUAAGGAUUUCUGCUUUUGCAUCUUCCUCAUUCUCUCUUCGCCUGCUGCCAUCCAUGUAAGACAUGAUUGUGAGACUUCCCCAGCCACAUGGACCUGGACAUGGAUGAACCUGGAAACCAUCAUUCUCAGCAAACUGACACAAGAACAGAAAAUCAAACACCACCUUCUCACUCAUAGGAAAAUGUAGCUUCCUGUAGCUUCUGGAAACCAGUAUGGAAACAUGGAAGCUAAAGCAAGUAUUUCUUUAACUGCUGAACACCCAAAACCACAUUAUGUCAAGAGGAUGGUUUUCCUAAUCAUCAUCCAAUAUGAAAAUAACAUUACCGUAACACAACCCACAUAGGUGGGUGUGUGCUGCUUCUGGCUACAGAUUUCUACGUGGAGAUGCCAUGGAGGCCGAUCUACAAAAUGCAGAUGUGUCAACAGAAGGCAUAAAUGAUGGAUACAAAUGACUCUUCAAUGGAAAUUUUAUGUCAUAAAAAUGGCAAAAAUGAAAGUGAUACAUCAGGGUAUAAGCUGAAAGCACAAUAGAAGAUGCCAAGCCAAAACAAGAACCAGAAGAUGUCGAGGGAAUGAUUCCAAAGAACUUGCCAUGGGUUUCAAUAGAGAAUCCUGGUGAUGACUGAUUUUGUUUGUAUCAUCAAGGCUUCCCAGUAAAUUCACAUUACAUAUAUAUUUUAUUAUUUCUUAAUGAUUUUUGCCAUUCUUUAAAAAAAGAGAAUGCAUUGCAAAACCUAAUUUAGGACAUAAAAGUUAAUAAAUUGUUUGUUUAAAUUCAAAUAUUUGUUUUAUGCAUUGUUUUGUUUUCUCUUUCAGUUAAACCCAGAUGUUUUCAAUGCACGCCAAAUGCUUCUUCAUGCUUUCUUUAACUAAUUUGCAUAAUUUAUGUUAAACAAAAAGACUUUCCAGAGUUCUUAUGUUUUUCAUUUUUUCCCAUGAUUUGUAUUCUAUAGCCGCUCCGUGUACCUACAACUAAAAAACAAACAAGCAAUUUUUGUCUGCAUUGUUCUCCUUUAGAGUUAAGAUAACUAUACUCUGGUAAUUUGCUUGGAUUGGGAAGAGCAUUGUGGAAGUGGAAGAAGGACAAGAUUAAACCAGUCCUGAGACAGUUCUGCAUCCGGGAACAAAGGAAAAGAGAUAACAAACCAAAGCACACCUGGAUCAAACACCAAGGACAAUCCAGAGGCUGGUGUAGUAAGGUGAGGGCCAGGAAACAAGCCAGAUGAAAACCUCAAACCUGAAACGGAGGCUGAGGACCAAAUCCACAAAAUCAGGUGAAUGCAGCUAAAGACAGAGGAAGAUUUAACAUCCAGGGGUAGUCAGGACUGGGAGAACUGUAAAAUACCGGAGCUUGAAAAACCUUUGAGCUGCCUUCAUUCUAAAUUCGAAAACUGAGGCCCAGGUUUUCCCCAUGUUGCAUAGUGAGUGGCAAAGGUAGAGCUUGAAUCCAGAUCUCCUUUCCUGUCCAGUGUCUUAAAAAUGGAAGAAAUUUGCUCUGAAACAUUCAAGCUUUCUAAGCUACCUACCCAGAGACCUGUGUUGGUCCCUUAAUUGCUCAUGAUGGCUAAAAGAUUCUGCAUUCCAACCCCCUUCAGUUCCAUAGUUGUGUGCAAGUCACGAUUUGGGGCUCGAGUGUCUUCUGCCAGAUUCGGGAUUAGUGUCAGUUCCUCAGAAUCCUUAGCUGUCCUCUUGGCUUCCACAGAUUAUGGCUGUGGUUUCAGACCCUUUCGUUGAAAUCCGGAAUUCCCUCCUGGUCGCAAGCCACAGACCUCCACCAAUCCUGGAGUGCUCUGCUGCCACCUAGGGUCAAAAUGCAGUACUACCUUAGCUACUCUGGGAUGCUCUACUGCACUGUAAUUAAUACUGUAGAUAUUUAUGAAAUCUUUUACUUCCGAACCAAUUUUUCCUUAUAUUUAAAGCAAAAAAAAAAGUCCAUCACUUUUCAUUGACACUAUUGGCCGUCAUUAAAGAUGGACUUUGACCCUCUAUCAAACUUUCAGUUCUCAAAGAAUCCUGGGAUUUCUGUUUUAUCACAGGUAUUGUCAAAACCAUAAAACCUCCAAAUUUCAUAUAAUAUACGUGCAAAAUAGUUUUGCAUGUUCUCUGUUUAUAGCCAGAAUUAAAGUGGAUUUGAAAGAAAAGAAAGCUACAAUGCCAAAGCUUGCUUGUUAAUAAAAUAAUAAAGAGAAGAGAAAAUGGCACCAGAUUUAACACUGUCACCUUUAUACUAAUGCAAAAUGUUACAAAUAUUACCUUCUAGGUAAUUAAAGCAGGUAGUUAAGGUUGUAGGUAAAAACACGAAGCGCAUCUUUCUCAUUCUCUCCGUGCAUGUACAUAUACAUAAAAAUCUGCAUAAAUAUAUUUUUUAAAGCAGUGCGUAUAUGGUUGGUGAGAGAACAUAAUUCAAUUGCUCUGACAUAUAUAUCCA